GCCCCCAUCGUCUAGAGGACUAGGACGUGGCCCUUUCAAGGCCAAGACAGGAGUUCGAAUCUCCUUGGGGGCA
rnacentral:tRNA from 1 species